rnacentral:rRNA from 1 species
AGAGUUUGAUCAUGGCUCAGGACGAACGCUGGCGGCGCGCCUAAUACAUGCAAGUCGAGCGAGAACCAGGGCUUGCCCUGGGGAGAGCGGCGAACGGGUGCGUAUCACGUGAGCAACCUGCCUCGGAGACCGGAAUAACUCGAGGAAACUCGGGCUAAUGCCGGAUGCCCUCACUGGACCGCAUGGUUCGGUGAGGAAAUGGAUUCCGCUCCGAGAUGGGCUCGCGGCCUAUCAGCUUGUUGGUGGGGUAACGGCCUACCAAGGCAACGACGGGUAGCUGGUCUGAGAGGACGAUCAGCCACACUGGGACUGAGACACGGCCCAGACUCCUACGGGAGGCAGCAGUAGGGAAUCUUGCGCAAUGGGCGAAAGCCUGACGCAGCGACGCCGCGUGCGGGAUGAAGGCCUUCGGGUCGUAAACCGCUUUCAGCAGGGACGAAAUUGACGGUACCUGCAGAAGAAGGCCCGGCCAACUACGUGCCAGCAGCCGCGGUGAUACGUAGGGGUCUAGCGUUGUCCGGAAUCAUUGGGCGUAAAGAGCUCGUAGGCGGUUCGGCAAGUCGGAUGUGAAAUCUCCACGCUCAACGUGGAGGGGCCAUUCGAAACUGCCGUGACUCGAGUCCGGUAGGGGAGUUCGGAAUUCCCGGUGUAGCGGUGAAAUGCGCAGAUAUCGGGAGGAACACCAGUGGCGAAGGCGGAACUCUGGGCCGGAACUGACGCUGAGGAGCGAAAGCGUGGGGAGCGAACAGGAUUAGAUACCCUAGUAGUCC